GACGAACGCUGGCGGCGUGCUUAAUACAUGCAAGUCGAACGAAACUUCCCUCCUUUGUGGGGGUACUCAAUUGGCAAGCGGGGAGGAAGACGGGAGGGAACCUCGCUGGUAAUUUGGGUAACCGCGGGGAACGAGGGUUGAAAACAGGUUAUAAUACCGCAUGACAGGUUGUGGGUCGUAACGUUUCGGUGGUUGGGGAUGGACUCGCGGGUUAUUAGCUGGUGGGUGGGUUAGUGGCUUACCAGGGCUUGGACGGGUAGCCGGCCUGAGAGGGGGACCGGCCACAUUGGGACUGAGAUACGGACCAGACUCCUACGGGAGGCAGCAGUGGGGAAUAUUGCACAAUGGGCGGAAGCCUGAUGCAGCAACGCCGCGUGCGGGAUGCCGGCCUUCGGGUUGUAAACCGCUUUCGCCUGUGACGAAGCGUGAGUGACGGUAAUGGGUAAAGAAGCAACGGCUAACUACGUG
rnacentral:rRNA from 1 species